CGUCAAGCGGUGAGCAAUAACAAUGCAGGUUCGACCCUUCCUGGCAUCAUCCAAGGCUUUCUGGACAAUCUGCAGACAGAUGCAGUGAAAAACUUGUUAUUACUUGGAGAAUCUUCCUUUUCAUAGCCUGGUUCACAAGGACUAGCAUUACUUUAGGGAGAUUGACACUGCUGCAAUUGAUUCAGUGGGUGUUGAGAGCAGAGUGCUCUCUGAUCGACUCUGGUACUCCACUGGAACAAGAAGAGUAAGCCAUGUGACUCCGAUAAUGCAUUAUGCCACUCAGUCAGAGGGGAGACCACACUGCAUCAUGGGAGAUGUAGUCUAACCUGGAAGCCCGGCCCAUAAGAGAGGCAAUGUUCCAAAACAGA